ensembl:lncRNA
CAAGAUGUUCACAAUUUAACAUCGCAAAGGCCUUUAGAUUAGACUGACCAAAAAAAAUUAUAAAAUGUCAUAAAAUAUCUAGGAGUAGUUUGUUACGGCGUAAAACAUGUCACUUCCUGUUGCCAGCAGGUGGCACUAUAGCGAUAUCUGAAUAUUGGCAUGUAGAUAUAUUCAGGUCAGGAGUCUUCUCAAACAUGUGAAGUUUGGGGCAGAUUGGACAUUGUAUGUCUGAGUUAUAACAACUUCCUUUCUCAUGGCGAAACAUCGAUAUUUGUAAGGCCGCCAUGGACACGCCGUUUAACGAAACCUCAAGAUCUUCGCAAUUUAAUAUCGCAAAGGGCUUUAGAUUACACUGAGCAAUUUUGGUGUUGAUCUGAAUAAAUCUCUAGGAGGAGUUCGUUAAAGUACAACCCCUGAAAAUGGCAAAAACAACACCAAUUUUGCAGGGAAAAUUCAAAAUAACCGACUUCCUGUUGGGAUUCGGAUUUCGUACCAAGAGACUUUUUUGUAGGUAUUGGUGUGUUACAUGUGUGUACCGAUUUUUGUACAUGUACGUGAAACGUAGCUCGAGGCGCACUCCGUUGAAAAUGUAUAGGUGGCGCUAUCGAGGCAUUUUGCCACACCCAAUGGAAUAUUGGCCUUCAGAUGUGUUCAGGCCAGGACUGUUAUCAAACAUGUGAAGUUUGGGCAAGAUCGGACGUUUUAUGCCUGAGUUAGAAUAACAUUUAUUCCCAUGGCGAGACAUCGAAAUUUGUCACGGCGCCAUGGACACGGCCAUUAACGAAAACUCAAGAGCUUCACAAUUUAACAUCGCACAGGCCUUUAGAAUAGAGUGACUGAAAAAAAAAAUGUAUGUCAUAAAAUUUCUCGGAGUAGUUUGUUACAGCGUAAAAUAUGUCACUUCCUGUUGCCAAUAGGUGGCGCUAUGACUAUAACU